rnacentral:rRNA from 1 species
UGGGGAAUAUUGGACAAUGGGCGAAAGCCUGAUCCAGCCAUGCCGCGUGUGUGAAGAAGGUCUUCGGAUUGUAAAGCACUUUAAGUUGGGAGGAAGGGCAGUAAGCGAAUACCUUGCUGUUUUGACGUUACCGACAGAAUAAGCACCGGCUAACUCUGUGCCAGCAGCCGCGGUAAUACAAAGGGUGCAAGCGUUAAUCGGAAUUACUGGGCGUAAAGCGCGCGUAGGUGGUUCGUUAAGUUGAAUGUGAAAGCCCCGGGCUCAACCUGGGAACUGCAUCCAAAACUGGCGAGCUAGAGUAGGGCAGAGGGUGGUGGAAUUUCCUGUGUAGCGGUGAAAUGCGUAGAUAUAGGAAGGAACACCAGUGGCGAAGGCGACCACCUGGGCUCAUACUGACACUGAGGUGCGAAAGCGUGGGGAGCAAACAGG